AUUCUUUCGAAAUGUGAAUUCGAAUUGGAUAAAUAUAAGUUUGUUUGGGCCGUGAUAUUUCGAAUUGGGACAUUUACACUCUGUUCUAGAGUCUUACUUAACUAACAAAGGAAUUGGAAAGAAAGAGGAUAGUAAUGAUGUUUCAGAGUUUUUUAUAUGGUGAGAAAGAGAAAGAAGAGAAGAGAAUGAGGAGGUUUUUUAAUCCCUAUAUGUUUCAUUCCAAAUCGGAAUGAUUCUCAGAAAAAAGAGGAGAUAAACAUCACGUUCCUAAUUAUCUUCCAACUUUACCCUCGUAAGAAAUAUGGCGGGUAUAUCUCCCACAUCCUGCCAAAUCAUCAACCCACCUUCCAUCAUCUAUCCCUCAAUCGAAAACUGUUCGAUCAUCGUUUCCUGCUCUCCUCAGCAAUCAGCAGUUCAUCUUCCAGGUAACAUCAUGUUCCUAUUUCACAUCCAAUUUUGAGCGGCCCUCUCCUUUGCGUGGUCUUUCUAUCUAAAAUUUUGAUUAAAUUAGUGUGUCUAAUUUGGGUUUUGGCUUCUUGAAUUGUUUACGUUUGAUUAAAUUCGAUUGCUUUGAUUGUUUAUAGCCAAAACUUUUGAAGCAUAGGCCUGAAUUUACCAUUUGAGAACUGUAUGUAUGUAUGUAUGAAUGAGGCCUGAUAAGUGCUAAUUUACCUACUGUAUGUAUGUAUGAGUGAGGCCUGAUAAGUUCUAAUUUACCUACUGUAUAUAUGUAUGAAUGAGGCCUGAUAAGUGCUAAUUUGCAGUAUGAGAACUGUAUGUAUGUAUGAAUGAGGCCUGACCCUGCACUUAGUUCAGUUUCAGUUUCGUUUGUAUAUAAAAUUUGCGAUAAUUAAUUGAAGAACUACUCGUUAUUGAUUGAGGUUAUAAUUUAUAAGUAUGGUUUAUUUGACUUGAUUUGAUUCCUUUCCUUUUCUUUUAUUUUUGAAAAAGUAAAUCCAACUCAGCCAAAAGUUGAGAAACACAUUAGCACACUAGCAAUAUGAGUUCUACUGGAACAAAAGCAAAUAAAAAAGCCCCAAAUUUCUGGUUGGGGCAUUUUUUUGUGGCUGGACUGUUGGAUUUCGGAGAUGCCACUGGCCUCCGAGUUUUCGUUGUUGUUUGGUUUAAAAAAGAGGAACAAAAAGGCAGCAAUAGCUUAAUGUUUCGUGCUGCUCGAUUUGGGCAUUGAAGCAAGAGUUUAUGGAGUUAUAGCCAUGUUAUAACUUGUGUUAAUGGCGCCUCUACUCAAGUGGAUUCUCUUUCAGCUACUGUUGUUCCUGGACUUAUCUUGGCAACUAGUUCUUGACUUUAUUAUAUAUCAUGACCAAACGACUGUUAAGGUAGGAAGGCGACUGUGAUAAACGAUACAAGUUCUAGUGGCUGGUGCCGUGAUAGGAUCUGCAAUUGAGAGAUGACUGCAAGUAGAUAUUGUGCCUUUUCUGGGUACAUUCAAGACAGAUUCAACUCCAAAGAAUGAAGAAUCUGAGAAAAAACAUGUUGACAAUGCUCACCAAGUAAAAUCUAUACAAGAUGAGUCAAUGUAGUUGUCACAGAAUGGUGAAGUCAAAGAAUCAAGUGCAUCAACAAAUGAAACUUCAAGUUCUGAACCUGUGUGCUCAAUUUGUAAAAAAACAAAAUUUGAAAAUGUCAAACUGUUGAGAG